GUGGCCCCGUAACGAGGUCCCGGCGCCAGGCGGAACGGGACAAGAUGGCCUUCUAUAACCUCCGCUCCCGCCCCGUCAAACACAAACGGAGACAGAGCGAGAAAUGUAUCUCCUACGCCAGGCCCGGGUGUUCCCGUUGCGACAGAUUUCAACAGGACAAGAAUUCCAACACCAACAGCAAUGUGGACAGCGAGUCGGAACCCAUUGGUGACGUCAUUCAUUACGUCACAGUGUGCAAUAAUGUUCCAAAGACGUACCGUGUG